AAGAACUACUAGGGGAGCCUAUCAUGGGCUGAGAAGAAGCAAUAGCUUCUGACUCUUAUUGACCUGAUCUGGUUAAGACCAGCGGAGGGAAGUAGUAGAGAUUCUCA
rnacentral:ncRNA from 1 species